rnacentral:rRNA from 3 species
GUUGACCUCGAAUCAGGUAGGAAUACCC